ACAUGCAAGUCGAACGAGAAAGGGAUUGCUUGCAAUCCUGAGUAGAGUGGCGCACGGGUGAGUAACACGUAGAUAAUCUACCUUCGAGUCUGGGAUAACUAUUCGAAAGGAUAGCUAAUACCGGAUGAAGUGUCUUUGCAAAAGUGGAGAUAUGAAAGAUAGCCUAUCCCUGGAAGCUAUUGCUUGGAGAUGAGUUUGCGGACCAUUAGUUUGUUGGUAGGGUAACGGCCUACCAAGACUGCGAUGGUUAGCUGGUCUGAGAGGAUGAUCAGUCACACUGGAACUGGAACACGGUCCAGACUCCUACGGGAGGCAGCAGUGAGGAAUUUUGCGCAAUGGGGGUAACCCUGACGCAGCAACGCCGCGUGAGUGAAGAAAGCCUUUGGGUCGUAAAGCUCUGUCAACAAGGAAGAAAUUGGUAUGUAUUAAUAGUGCAGGCCAUUGACGGUACUUGUGGAGGAAGCGCCGGCUUACUUCCUGCCAGCAGCCGCGGUAACACCGGGGGCGCAAGCGUUAUUCGGAAUUAUUGGGCGUAAGGCGCGUAGGUGGUCUUAUCGGUCAGAUGUGAAGCCCGGGCUCAACCCGGACGUGCAUUUGAAACAGUAAGACUUG
rnacentral:rRNA from 1 species